rnacentral:rRNA from 1 species
UACGUAGGGUGCAAGCGUUGUCCGGAUUUACUGGGCGUAAAGAGCGCGCAGGCGGUCGUUCAAGUCGAGUGUGAAAGCCCCCGGCUCAACUGGGGAGGGUCACUCGAUACUGAUCGACUUGAAGGCAGGAGAGGGAAGCGGAAUUCCCGGUGUAGUGGUGGAAAUGCGUAGAUAUCGGGAGGAACACCAGUGGCGAAGGCGGCUCCU